GGGUUGUGAGGUUAAGCGACUAAGCGUACACGGUGGAUGCCCUGGCAGUCAGAGGCGAUGAAGGACGUGCUAAUCUGCGAUAAGCGCCGGUAAGGUGAUAUGAACCGUUAUAACCGGCGAUUUCCGAAUGGGGAAACCCAGUGUGAUUCGUCACACUAUCAUUAACUGAAUCCAUAGGUUAAUGAGGCGAACCGGGGGAACUGAAACAUCUAAGUACCCCGAGGAAAAGAAAUCAACCGAGAUUCCCCCAGUAGCGGCGAGCGAACGGGGAGGAGCCCAGAGCCUGAAUCAGCAUGUGUGUUAGUGGAAGCGUCUGGAAAGGCGCGCGAUACAGGGUGACAGCCCCGUACACAAAAGCGCAUGUGCUGUGAGCUCGAUGAGUAGGGCGGGACACGUGGUAUCCUGUCUGAAUAUGGGGGGACCAUCCUCCAAGGCUAAAUACUCCUGACUGACCGAUAGUGAACCAGUACCGUGAGGGAAAGGCGAAAAGAACCCCGGCGAGGGGAGUGAAAAAGAACCUGAAACCGUGUACGUACAAGCAGUGGGAGCACAGGUUUACCUGUGUGACUGCGUACCUUUUGUAUAAUGGGUCAGCGACUUAUAUUCUGUAGCAAGGUUAACCGUAUAGGGGAGCCGUAGGGAAACCGAGUCUUAAC
rnacentral:rRNA from 4 species